rnacentral:rRNA from 1 species
GUCUACGGCCAUGCCACCAUGAACAAGCUCGAUCCCAACUGAUCUCAAAAGCUAAGCAGGGUCAGGCCUGGUUAGUACUUGGAUGGGAGACCACCUAGGAAGACCAGGUGCUGUAGGCG